rnacentral:rRNA from 1 species
AUGGCCUGUGCUCUAAGAAGGCUUUUUGCAACUAUUCUUGUGUUCUGCGAGGCAACCAACAUCCGUGCUUUGUGGGAGAAGCAUCUAGAGUCAAUGUCUGAGGAUUACCAUCAUACCCAGUCCAACCAGGCUGCGCUGGAACAGAUGGUCCUUAGAGACAUCCAGGAUUUGGUGCAUUCGAUGGGCAAAGAUAUUAAAAGCUAUGGCCUCCCGGAGCUAGUUGAGACCGAUGAUGGUUCCGGCGACCUCCUAAGGGAGGUUCGAGAGGAGUUGUCAGUCGUUGUGGAUCGAGAGCAUUUAGAUCUAUAUACAUCCAUGAACAUUGAGCAGAGGGCUAGGUUUGAGGAAAUCUUGAAUCACAUGGUGAACAACAGGAAACAGGUUUUCUUUGUUGAUGGUCCUGGUGGCACGGGGAAGACUUAUCUCUACAAGGCGCUUCUUGCUAAAGUGUGUUCAUUGGGGAAAAUAGCUAUUGCAACUGCGAUAUCCAGUAUAGCCGCAUCAAUCAUGCCCGAUGGACGUACUGCCCACUCCAGGUUCAAAAUGCCGAUCAAGCUCAUGGAUAAUAGCAUCUGCAGCUUCACCAAGCAAAGUGGUACUGCAGAGUUGCUUCGGAGAGCGUCUCUGAUAAUCUGGGAUGAGGUUGCCAUGACGAAGCGUCAAGAAGUUGAGGCAUUGGAUAGGUCACUACGUGAUAUCAUGGGAUGUGUUAUUCCAUUUGGGGGAAAGGUUGUGGUGUUUGGAGGGGAUUUUAGGCAGGUCCUUCCUGUGGUCCUGCGUGUGACAAGAGCACAAAUCACUGACGCCACGCUGCAAAGUUCAUAUCUAUGGGAGAAAAUUAGACAAAUACGCCUCACCCGUAAUAUGAGAGCACAGACUGACCCGUGGUUCUCCAAAUACCUCUUGAGAAUUGACAAUGGAACGGAGGAGACGAUCGGUGAUGAUUAUGUGCGUCUGCCUGAUGACAUUGUGAUAGGUUACACACCUGGUGACGCACCAGUCAUGAAGCUUAUUGAACACGUGUUCCCAUCUCUUCAUGAGGACGCAUCAUCCGGUGCCUACAUGAGCACACGUGCUACUCUUUCUACCAAGAGUGAGCACGUGGACGAUCUAAAUGCAAAGAUGAUUGACAGGUUUCUCGGCCAAGAAAAGGUAUACUAUAGUUUUGAUUCCAUCGAUGAUGAUACACGCAAUAACUACCCAAUUGACUAUUUGAACAACCUCACUCCGAAUGGCUUGCCUCCCCAUAUUUUAAAAUUUAAAGUCAAU